rnacentral:rRNA from 1 species
GGAGUUAGCCGGUGCUUCUUCUGUGAGUGAUGUCCUUCCUGCCGGCUAUUAACCCGCAGGCCUUCUUCCUCACUGAAAGUGCUUUACAACCCGAAGGCCUUCUUCACACACGCGGCAUGGCUGGAUCAGGGUUGCCCCCAUUGUCCAAUAUUCCCCACUGCUGCCUCCCGUAGGAGUCUGGGCCGUGUCUCAGUCCCAGUGUGGCUGAUCAUCCUCUCAGACCAGCUACGGAUCGUCGCCUUGGUGAGCCGUUACCUCACCAACCAGCUAAUCCGACAUAGGCUCAUCCGAUAGCGCGAGGCCCGAAGGUCCCCCGCUUUCCCCCGUAGGGCGUAUGCGGUAUUAGCCUGGGUUUCCCCAGGUUAUCCCCCACUACCGGGCAGAUUCCUAUGCAUUACUCACCCGUCCGCCGCUCGCCACCAGGGAGCAAGCUCCCCGUGCUGCCGCUCGACUUGCAUGUGUUAGGCCUGCCGCCAGCGUUCAUCCUGAGCCAGAAUCGAACCCUGA